rnacentral:rRNA from 1 species
GCGUGCCUAACACAUGCAAGUCGAACGGGAAUCUUCGGAUUCUAGUGGCGGACGGGUGAGUAACGCGUAAGAAUCUAACUUCAGGACGGGGACAACAGUUGGAAACGACUGCUAAUACCCGAUGUGCCGCAAGGUGAAAACUAAUUGGCCUGAAGAAGAGCUUGCGUCUGAUUAGCUAGUUGGUGGGGUAAGAGCCUACCAAGGCGACGAUCAGUAGCUGGUCUGAGAGGAUGAGCAGCCACACUGGGACUGAGACACGGCCCAGACUCCUACGGGAGGCAGCAGUGGGGAAUUUUCCGCAAUGGGCGAAAGCCUGACGGAGCAACGCCGCGUGAGGGAGGAAGGUCUUUGGAUUGUAAACCUCUUUUCUCAAGGAAGAAGUUCUGACGGUACUUGAGGAAUCAGCCUCGGCUAACUCCGUGCCAGCAGCCGCGGUAAUACGGGGGAGGCAAGCGUUAUCCGGAAUUAUUGGGCGUAAAGCGUCCGCAGGUGGUCAGCCAAGUCUGCCGUCAAAUCAGGUUGCUUAACGACCUAAAGGCGGUGGAAACUGGCAGACUAGAGAGCAGUAGGGGUAGCAGGAAUUCCCAGUGUAGCGGUGAAAUGCGUAGAGAUUGGGAAGAACAUCGGUGGCGAAAGCGUGCUACUGGGCUGUAUCUGACACUCAGGGACGAAAGCUAGGGGAGCGAAAGGGAUUAGAUACCCCUGUAGUCCUAGCCGUAAACGAUGGAUACUAGGCGUGGCUUGUAUCGACCCGAGCCGUGCCGAAGCUAACGCGUUAAGUAUCCCGC